GACGAACGCUGGCGGCGUGCUUAACACAUGCAAGUCGAACGGAAAGGCCCUGCUUUUGUGGGGUGCUCGAGUGGCGAACGGGUGAGUAACACGUGAGUAACCUGCCCUUGACUUUGGGAUAACUUCAGGAAACUGGGGCUAAUACCGGAUAGGAGCUCCUGCUGCAUGGUGGGGGUUGGAAAGUUUCGGCGGUUGGGGAUGGACUCGGGGCUUAUCAGCUUGUUGGUGGGGUAGUGGCUUACCAAGGCUUUGACGGGUAGCCGGCCUGAGAGGGUGACCGGCCACAUUGGGACUGAGAUGCGGCCCAGACUCCUACGGGAGGCAGCAGUGGGGAAUAUUGCACAAUGGGCGGAAGCCUGAUGCAGCAACGCCGCGUGCGGGAUGACGGCCUUCGGGUUGUAAACCGCUUUCGCCUGUGACGAAGCGUGAGUGACGGUAAUGGGUAAAGAAGCACCGGCUAACUACGUG
rnacentral:rRNA from 1 species